rnacentral:rRNA from 1 species
GACGAACGCUGGCGGCGUGCUUAACACAUGCAAGUCGAACGGAAAGGCCCUGCUUUUGUGGGGUGCUCGAGUGGGGAACGGGUGAGUAACACGUGAGUAACCUGCUCUUGAUUUUGGGAUAACUUCAGGAAACUGGGGUUAAUACCGGAUAGGAGCCCCCGUUGCAUGGAGGGGGUUGGAAAGUCUCGGCGGUUGGGGAUGGACGCGCGGCUUAUGAGCUUGUUGGUGGGGUAGUGGCUUACCAAGGCUUUGACGGGUACCCGGCCUGAGAGGGUGACCGGCCACAAUGGGACUGAGGUACGGCGCAGACUCCUACGGUGGGCAGCAGUGGGGAAUAUUGCACAGUGGGCGGGAGCCUGAUGCAGCAACGCCGCGUGCGGAAUGACGGCCUUCGGGUUGUAAACCGCUUUCGCCUGAGACGAAGCGUGAGUGACGGUAAUGAGUAAAGAAGCACCGGCUAACUACGUG